rnacentral:lncRNA from 1 species
GCAUAUCUGCCAAGUAUCAGGGUGAAUUCAUCAUAUUUAAUGUUUAUAUGUGCUGUAUGAAGGGCUUAGGAAAUGCCCUGUCCAAGGCGGACAAGUUAAAGGGAAAUUAUCACCAUUAUUUCUUGCUAACCGUGUAUAUGUUUAUGUUCGAUGGUGCACUUUAAAGAAAAAUGGAAUCACGUGUGAACCGUAUGCCUGUUGAUCUAAAUCGGCCGUCCUACGUAAUCGCACUCUAGGUUCUAGGAACCAUGUCCGGUGUUUUUCCAUGGUUCGGAUUGGUUUUGAAGCUCGGUUACAUGAAGUAAGGAUUCAGUUUGUGGAACCGAAAGUACAGUUACAAGAAUCGAAUAGUCUGAUCAAUACAGAACACCGUACUUACGGUCCAUAAUAAUAGACCAAACUUUUUUGCUCGCUGUAUAUGUGUGAAAGUUCUGUUAUAAUACAUGAGUGGAGAUAUGUGCGACUAAAUAUGCGUGAACCGAUUAUUUUCCAAAUCAUGUGCUGCUUUCGACUCACAAAAGGCGAUAAUUCUUCAGCUUCUAAGCAAGUAUUUUCGAUCCUAUCUCAAGCAGCAGUGUAAACAAAUCACAGUUCAACCUUGGUGAUUUAUGGCACAUUUCUAUUAUAUAUACCCUGUUUUAUUUACUGUAAAAUAGUUUUGACUGCAGUUCACACCACUGAGCAGGUAUGUGAAUCGUCUUUGUGAGCAUAUUCUUCAAUUGUGUCAGUUUUUUUCAAAAGGGUUUAAGUUCAUUUGCAGUAUGCAUAAAUUUUCAUAAAUUUCAGGAAUCUUGCAAAAGUGAUUUAGUCCUUUUAGGAGUGAAAUGAUUCAAGCGUGACCGUACAUGGGAAAAGAAACCGUUGUGCCGAAAAACUGAGAACUGAUAUUAUAGUAACUGAUUACGAGGGUGUCUUACAAACUAUGUCAGCAAAAAGAACCGAAUCCGAUAUGAUUUGAAGUUUGUCAUAAAAAAAUAUAGUUUUGAGAGGAGAAGAAAAGGAAUUAAAAUUGUUUUUCUCCCUUUUCAGAGUU